UACUUGACCCAUUAAUUUAUUUAAGUUAGUGGGAUUAGUUUAUUUGUUAUAAUAAAUUAACAUUAGAAAAACAGAAAAUAAAAAGGGUUCAAAAACUACCGGCGGCGUGGGCAUAAUAUUUACUCGUGAGUCGUGUAUUGCAGAUUGUGAACAUUCAGAAACUUUGCGAAAUGGAAAGAAACUAUCUUGAAGAUUCGUGGCACGAGGUUCGGCUCUUAAGAUUCGAUUCCGAGUAGGAGCACAUCUCGAGGAGCAGUUUGAGUCCGAGUUUGGAGUGUCUUGGAGUUGUGGUGAGCUACUUGGCUGUUCCAUGGCCCACACCUCCCUCUAUCUUUUACGUAUUCUGUUAUUCAGUAUUCAGACAGGA